CCUACGGGAGGCAGCAGUGAGGAAUAUUGGUCAAUGGACGAGAGUCUGAACCAGCCAAGUAGCGUGAAGGAUGACUGCCCUAUGGGUUGUAAACUUCUUUUAUAUGGGAAUAAAAUGUUCCACGUGUGGGAUUUUGUAUGUACCAUAUGAAUAAGGAUCGGCCAACUCCGUGCCAGCAGCCGCGGUAAUACGGAGGAUCCGAGCGUUAUCCGGAUUUAUUGGGUUUAAAGGGAGCGUAGGUGGAUUGUUAAGUCAGUUGUGAAAGUUUGCGGCUCAACCGUAAAAUUGCAGUUGAAACUGGCAGUCUUGAGUACAGUAGAGGUGGGCGGAAUUCGUGGUGUAGCGGUGAAAUGCGUAGAUAUCACGAAGAACUCCGAUUGCGAAGGCAGUUCACUGGACUGCAACUGACACUGAGGCUCGAAAGUGUGGGUAUCAAACAGGAUUAGAUACCCUUGUAGUC
rnacentral:rRNA from 1 species